rnacentral:rRNA from 1 species
CGCCGCGUGAGUGAAGAAGGGUUUCGGCUCGUAAAACUCUGUUGUUAAAGAAGAACAUAUCUGAGAGUAACUGUUCAGGUAUUGACGGUAUUUAACCAGAAAGCCACGGCUAACUACGUGCCAGCAGCCGCGGUAAUACGUAGGUGGCAAGCGUUGUCCGGAUUUAUUGGGCGUAAAGCGAGCGCAGGCGGUUUUUUAAGUCUGAUGUGAAAGCCUUCGGCUCAACCGAAGAAGUGCAUCGGAAACUGGGAAACUUGAGUGCAGAAGAGGACAGUGGAACUCCAUGUGUAGCGGUGAAAUGCGUAGAUAUAUGGAAGAACACCAGUGGCGAAGGCGGCUGUCUGGUCUGUAACUGACGCUGAGGCUCGAAAGUAUGGGUAGCAAACAGGAUUAGAUACCCUGGUAGUCCAUACCGUAAACGAUGAAUGCUAAGUGUUGGAGGGUUUCCGCCCUUCAGUGCUGCAGCUAACGCAUUAAGCAUUCCGCCUGGGGAGUACGGCCGCAAGGCUGAAACUCAAAGGAAUUGACGGGGGCCCGCACAAGCGGUGGAGCAUGUGGUUUAAUUCGAAGCUACGCGAAGAACCUUACCAGGUCUUGACAUACUAUGCAAAUCUAAGAGAUUAGACGUUCCCUUCGGGGACAUGGAUACAGGUGGUGCAUGGUUGUCGUCAGCUCGUGUCGUGAGAUGUUGGGUUAAGUCCCGCAACGAGCGCAACCCUUAUUAUCAGUUGCCAGCAUUAAGUUGGGCACUCUGGUGAGACUGCCGGUGACAAACCGGAGGAAGGUGGGGAUGACGUCAAAUCAUCAUGCCCCUUAUGACCUGG